ACUGGGCUUCUACUGCACAUGAAUAAGCUCUACAGGCUGUACUUGGGUCUGGCGUCUCAGCCGGGGAUUUGGAGAGCAUUAGGGGCCCAGCCCCCCAGGGGAUGACUCCUGGCCGCUCACCUUUUCAAAAAGCAGGCCUCCCUUCUAGGCUCCUCUAAUUGGCCUGCACUACUGUGAGAAUGAAUUGGUAAGAAGUUCCGACGUCAGCCCAGGAGUUCACUGUCUGUCUUCUGCUCCUAGAAUGUAAGCUGUAUGGAAGACCUACUGUGCCUGGCUGGAUUCUCAAAGCCUAGAACGAUGCUUGGGACACAGUAACAGUCCAAUAAAUACUUGCUGGUAAAUAAAGGACAGCUAUGUGGACAAGCAAAUUCUCCUUUUUGUGACAUCAGUGCACUUUUUUUCUGACGCUGAUUCCAGUAAGAUAACGCUUUGAGACUGCAACACUCUGAUGUGGGUAAGUGCUGAAUGCUCUGGCUUUCUGAGUUAAACAUUCACUUGCAGCAAGAUGAUGAUCAGAGAGG